UUUGAUAAAAUCCCCCAAACCAUACUUGGCUCUCUCUAUCCGCCAUCACCCCUGACACUUCCUCCUCGCCUGUCUCCACCAGCGGCCGCCCCCGAUAGCACAUCUCACCACCGAUGGUUGCUCCGCAUGGAUCACAUCCCUGCCUAUUAGAUCCAUGUGCCUCCAGAUCCAUGCUUGCCAAGACAAGCUGUAAACGCGUGCACUGACGACAGUGGCGGCGAACGGCAAACAUCCCCUGAUGGGUUAUUGUCCUGUUGCAGAUCCGACCAUAGGCAGGAUCCAUCGAGCGCACGGAGGUUGCCGCUGCGGACGAGUCGUGGGGUGUCGAGAUGCCGCUGUGGCUGCGCAUCGGGAGCGCUCAUCGGCGGGCGGGGCCUACCAUACUGACGCCGUCAUGAAAGAUUGAGGACGAUGGAGGCUAGGAGGGGACCUCCGAUUUCACUGUAGCGAGGAGGAGCUCGGCGUUGACUUUGGUGCGCUAGCUCAGUGCUAGCCUCUAGGAGCACGGCAAUGGAGAACUGGACUAGGUGAGAGUUUCCGUUCACUCUGGUUUCAUACGAAUUAGAUUCUGAUGGAUUGUUGUGGAUUUUAUGCCUUGUUUCGUUCUUUUCAAUUCUGAAAGCAAAUUCACAUUAUAUUUGCAGACGCCACAACUUCAAACUUGAUACAAAUUGAAAUUUAAUCGCCUGCCACAGCAGAACUAUGUAGGUGGCAGAAGCAAGAUACAAUAGUGUUUUUAUUCGUCUAAAUGUGUUUUUAUUUUGGCUUGGUAUUUUGCUGUAGGUGAGCCAGCCUAACUCUUUAUGGGAGAAUCCUCAUGCAGCAGCAAUUUCGUGGAAGCCGUCCUAAACGCCAGAGCCAUGAGGUCAGGAUGUUCAGCUUAAUAAUCAUGGACGAGCAAUCUGUAUAGGGCAGAGCAAACUUAUUUUAGACAAUAUAUUCCUCAUGAAAUCCAUGUGCAUUCAUUGCCUCUCUAAUCUCCCUCAAGAGAUUGGGUGUGUCGUGUUGCUUUCUUAUGCUCAGUUUGUCAUAUAAAAUUCAGUUGCAGAUACUAUAGACAGUUUGGCAUUGUCUAAUACACCAACUAUUAACAUUGUUACAGAUACGAAGCAUGUGACAUAGUAUUAAGUACCAUACUCCUCAUGCAUGAUGAUUUUUAUUUUUAGUUAGCAACAUUGUUACAACUACAGUGCAGCCGUAGCAAGCUCUUCCUACCGGAGCCGUUUCUUUUAAAGAAUACUAACACAGACUGUGCAUAUGCAAAUACUUUCUACAAUAGAACUUGCUGAUUAAGACAUAAUGUCAAAGGUACUGUUUUUCUUGUUCUAUCUUUGAUCUGUCACUGUUGGCAAAUGGAAUGUUUUGUUGUAAAUCUGAACCUAUACUUGUGACAUUAUAUUUGAUGCCUUUCUUAUUUUCCUAAGAUACUAAGGUGCAUUUGUGAACAUAUAAUAAAUGUGCACAGAAAAUCUACAAAAAAUACAGCAGCUAGCAUAUGUUCCCAGUAGACUACAACAAAAUUUUCAUAGCAUUUUACCAAGGAUAACUUGCUCUACUCACAAACAUAGAAUGUUCUGGACACAAGUAUAGAAAUCCGAAUUAUUUGGUGUUAUUGUUGCUAGGCUCAAAUGGAGGCUUAUGUUGCUAAACCAACAAAAGAAGGCUAAGAUCCGAAGACUGCCCUGUUACUGCAGUUGUGUUGCUGCUGCACUUAUGUUCGAACAAGUUGAAAUUUGAGAUUUCUGACUUAUCUUAUGUGUAAUGAAUUGGUGGAUGGAUGUAAUGGUAUUGAAUUUCAAUCUGAUUUGGUAUGUGUUGAAAAGUUAUAUGGACACAAUUGCAUGUGAUGAAAUAAUGUAUAUGGGCUAAAUUGUGUGGGUUGAA
rnacentral:lncRNA from 1 species